rnacentral:rRNA from 1 species
AACCGAGAACUCCUACGGGAGGCAGCAGUGGGGAAUAUUGGACAAUGGGCGCAAGCCUGAUCCAGCCAUGCCGCGUGAGUGAUGAAGGCCUUAGGGUUGUAAAGCUCUUUUAUCCGGGACGAUAAUGACGGUACCGGAGGAAUAAGCCCCGGCUAACUUCGUGCCAGCAGCCGCGGUAAUACGAAGGGGGCUAGCGUUGCUCGUAAUCACUGGGCGUAAAGGGCGCGUAGGCGGCGUUUUAAGUCGGGGGUGAAAGCCUGUGGCUCAACCACAGAAUGGCCUUCGAUACUGGGACGCUUGAGUAUGGUAGAGGUUGGUGGAACUGCGAGUGUAGAGGUGAAAUUCGUAGAUAUUCGCAAGAACACCGGUGGCGAAGGCGGCCAACUGGACCAUUACUGACGCUGAGGCGCGAAAGCGUGGGGAGCAAACAGGAUUAGAAACCCUGGUAGUCCGACUGAGA